GAUGAAGAACGUAGCGAAAUGCGAUAAGUAAUGUGAAUUGCAGAAUUCAGUGAAUCAUCGAAUCUUUGAACGCACCUUGCGCUCCUUGGUAUUCCGAGGAGCAUGCCUGUUUGAGUGUCAUGAAAUUCUCAACCUUUCUGGCUUUUGCUAGUCAGGCUUGGAUUAUGGGAGCUGCUGGCUUUUGAAGUCGGCUCUUCUAAAAUGUAUUAGCAAGAUCAUUGCCGCUCAUCAUUGGUAUGAUAAUUAUCUAUAUCAUUAAGAGUCAGUUUCCUUUAUUGGAAGAUUUUGCUCCUAACGGUCUUUAGCAAGACAACAUUUGACGAUUUUGACCUCAAAUCAGGUAGGACUACCCGCUGAACUUAAGCAUAUCAAUAAGCGGAGA
rnacentral:misc_RNA from 1 species